rnacentral:rRNA from 1 species
AGCGAACGCUGGCGGCAGGCCUAACACAUGCAAGUCGAACGAACCUUUCGGGGUUAGUGGCGGACGGGUGAGUAACACGUGGGAACGUGCCUUUAGGUUCGGAAUAACUCAGGGAAACUUGUGCUAAUACCGAAUGUGCCCUUCGGGGGAAAGAUUUAUCGCCUUUAGAGCGGCCCGCGUCUGAUUAGCUAGUUGGUUGAGGUAAUGGCUCACCAAGGCGACGAUCAGUAGCUGGUCUGGGAGGAUGAUCCGCCACAUUGGGACUGAGACACGGCCCAAACUCCUACGGGAGGCAGCAGUGGGGAAUCUUGCGCAAUGGGCGAAAGCCUGACGCAGCCAUGCCGCGUGAAUGAUGAAGGUCUUAGGAUUGUAAAAUUCUUUCACCGGGGACGAUAAUGACGGUACCCGGAGAAGAAGCCCCGGCUAACUUCGUG